AGCAAUAAAGUAUUUAUUAAUUAAAGUAUGUACAUUGUUUUUAGACAUAAUGCUACAAUAUAUUUAAUACACUACAGUAUGCUGAAAACACAAAUUUAUAUGCACUGUAAAACCAAAAUAAAAUUGUAUAACUCACUUUAUUGCAGUAUUCACUUUAAUGUAGUUGUCUGGAACUGAACAUAUAAUAUCUCCAAGGUAUGCCUUUGAGAGUGUACACAGAGGCCAUGAACCCAAAAGACCUGUGCUAAUUUUGUACACACAACUCCAUGCCCAAGACUAAGGCUUUGCCUCUUCCUGUGUCUGCUUGCAGGGGAAGGUGGCCUAGAGGAUACAGAUUAGGGCAGACAGUUUCCGAGGUACUUCUUACCAACUAUAGCUUCAGCCUUGUAGGCAGGACCCCCAGACACCAUCUCUGAAUAUUUUGUUCUGCAUUGAUCUUACCUUUUCUGAAAUAGCUUUAAUUCUUUGUGUCUAUAUCAUUUACUUUCAUCCUUAAUCAUAUGUGUUCUCAAUUCCUAGUAUCUGGGUUCUCCAAUCUAAUUGGUUAUAACCUACAUAUUCACAGCUUUCACAGGUGUGAAGCUUCCAUCAGUAGUAACCGUAGCAACAGGUCAGAGAGGCUUCACAAAACCUGGCUGUAUGUAAUUAAGGAAAACCUGGAUGUGGAUUCAAGACAGGGUGCUUAGACAAGACGACACAGGCUCUGAGCCCUACCACUGCACUUUCUGAGGACUUUUGCAGAAGGUGGCAGAUUUUCUUCCUCUUCUGGCCUCCUUCUUUAUUCUCUCUUAAACAUUUUUGCCUGCUCUCAAUUGGCUUUCUUCCCGAGGAAGUUGCUGGGGGACCUGGAAAAGACUUCUUGCAGGGGUAGGGCCCCAAGCCAAGGGAGUGCAUCCUGAAUAGGUAGGAAGUGGCCCUAGUACCUUCCUUUAGGGAGACUGAUUCAGAGGCCAAACCUGCUCUGGUCAGACUCUCAUUCAGACAUGGGAGAAGCUGAUCAGUCUACUUGCAGGAAUGUGCUCUUAUCACUGGGACCAUGGAGUACAGACCUGGGACCACCAUCACUGUAGCCACCCAGGCACUGGACCCUUGCUUGUUGGGCCUCAAACAGGCCUCAUGGGUGAAAAGGCAGGAGCUAUACACACAUGGUUUGGGAAGCAGUCAGCCUAGGGGCUUUUUUAUUCCUUAGCACUUAUUCUUAUCUGAAAUCAACUCAUUUAUCUCCUUGUUUCCUUCUUUCUUGUCAGGUUUUCUCACCAGAAUGUUAAGCUCUGUGGAAGCAGAAGCCUGCCUAUCUAGCUUUUUCCUAUCUUCCAGGUGCCUAGAACAGUGCAGGGAGUAUUAAAGAAGUGAAUGAGUGAAUGAAUUAAUGAUGAGUGGGGUUCCAGUCAUUAUUUGUGGCCCAGACUCAGGUCACUUCCAUACAUAUGCACUAUGAGCUCAGGCUUUUGUUGGGCUUUGGGGUAACAAAACAUACCCCUGGGAGAAAUUGAGUGGCAAAGGACACAGCAGGGCAUGUUCAGGUUCUCCUAGCUCUCUGAGUCCACUCACCAAGGGAAGGCCAUCCAUCCCUAUUCCUGCUUCUUGGAAGGAAAGAUUCAGGUUUAUGCAGUCCUAGGCUCAACAACCACAGUUCCCAUAGACUCCCAUCCAUGUUCCACAGACACAUUUGCUCUGGAAUAUAACCAUGGAUGAGAAGUGUUUGUUAUGUAUGAAGGCUGUUUCUAAAUAAACAUGAAAGUCCUUUCUGGAAGCCCACUGCUUUUCUUUCUGAGCGGGGAGCAAAUGAGCAGUGCUGGGUCUCCCCAUUGGAUCAGGGGCAGCUCCUCAUUUGCUACAUUUAUCUUUACCAAAGCCUCUACCACUCAGGGCCAUAAGUGAUGGGUCCUCAUUGCCGCCGUUGCUGCAUCUCCAUUGGCCUCACAGCAGGACAUCCUGUCUCAUGCUGGAGAGGGGUACAUACAUGUGACCUGAAGCCUUGCACACUGAGCAGAGGUCAAAAACUAGAUGGAAGAGGCCUCCCCUGGUAAAAUGUUAGGCAUGGGAAUCACAGAGACAAUUGAGCCAGCAGCCCACCAGGAGGCCACAUCAUGGUGAGGAUGACACAGAGGAAGAGACCAUCACAAUGCAAUAAUGGGAUCUGAAUUAAGCAGCUAGAAGUAGGCUUUGGGAGCCCAGAGGAGUGAGAGAUGUAUGACUGCAGGCAUUGGGGAAACGUCCUGACAAAUAGGUGCUGGACAUUAAAGGGUGAGCAGGAGUUUGUUAAGUAGAGAGGAAGAAAAGAAUUCCAGACAGAAGAGAGAACACUAUACGGAAGCUCAGGAAUAUAGAGAGAGUUUAGUGUGCACAGGCAAUCACAAGGAUCUUUCUGUUGGCUGUACUAGGGGGAGCAAGGGUCCAGGGGCCAGAGAUAAGAUCAAGAGUAGCAACACUGCACAGGGACUUGAAAGAGUGGGCAGGAGGAUAACCCUUUGGGUAAUUGGAGUUUGAGCAGAGGAACUCUGUGAUUCCAAGUGCAUUUUGAAGCUCACACUCUGGCAGAUGAGAAUGGAUGAGAGAACUGCAAAGUGAUAUUGGAGAAUUCAUCAGGAGGAUUUUGCAAUAGGGAAGGAAAAUUGAUGAAGCCCUUUGUUAUGAGGUAGUGGGGGUAUAGAGGAAGAGAAAGAUCUGAGGAAAAUGAGAUGGAGCUGACAGAUGUGCAUCGUGGGAUACAGGAGAUGUGACUGCUAGGGCCUGGCUAGUGACAACACAGAGUGUCAAGGGAGUUAAGGACUGAACUGUGUUCCCUAGACCUGUCAAGUAGGAGGCCAAAAAGGAAAGCAGGCAUGACGGCUGAGUGGGGAUGUAACCAGGCCACAGCUGGUGGAGCAGGGAUAGAGGAGAGCCACCAAGUGUGACUACUUAAGAAAAGCUUGGCUGGAGAGUAAAGAAGAGAGGUGAU